rnacentral:rRNA from 1 species
AUAAGCGGAGGAAAAGAAACCAACAGGGAUUGCCCCAGUAACGGCGAGUGAAGCGGCAACAGCUCAAAUUUGAAAUCUGGAGCCCCCCGCGGGCGCCCGAGUUGUAAUUUGCAGAGGAUGCUUCUGGCGCGGCGCCUUCCGAGUUCCCUGGAACGGGACGCCAUAGAGGGUGAGAGCCCCGUCUGGUCGGACGCCAAGCCUGUGUGAAGCUCCUUCGACGAGUCGAGUAGUUUGGGAAUGCUGCUCUAAAUGGGAGGUAUAUGUCUUCUAAAGCUAAAUACCGGCCAGAGACCGAUAGCGCACAAGUAGAGUGAUCGAAAGAUGAAAAGCACUUUGAAAAGAGGGUUAAACAGUACGUGAAAUUGUUGAAAGGGAAGCGCUCGUGACCAGACUCGGCCCCGGCGGAUCAUCCGGCGUUCUUCGCCGGUGCACUCCGCCGGGCGCCGGGCCAGCAUCGGUUCGCGGCGGGGGAUAAAGGCGUCGGGAACGUGGCUCCCCCGGGAGUGUUAUAGCCCGGCGCGCAAUGCCCCGCGGCGGACCGAGGUUCGCGCAUUCGCAAGGAUGCUGGCGUAAUGGUUACCAGUGACCCGUCUUGAAACA